AAACCAUGCAUCUGGCACUUCUGAAUUAGGUCUUUAAAUUGUUCCCAAGCUUCAUAUAGCAUUUCAUCAUCUGAUUUCCAAAAAGAUGUGAUGUCAUUUCUAAGAUU
rfam:Gossypium hirsutum cultivar TM-1 chromosome 8, whole genome shotgun sequence